rnacentral:lncRNA from 1 species
UAAAGUUAAACCUUGUUUGUUUGGCCCAAGUGUACCUAUGAGUUUGACAUCCCUGAUCUACACUCACUGCAAUCUGGUUUCAUUUCACGCUAGAUGGCUCUUCUGUGAAUAACACAUUGGAUCUCUUUCGGAAGACAGUGGCUGAUGCUUAUUGCAUCGAAAAGUACGUAGAGAGCAGAUAAUUUUUUCAGAUGUUAGCCUUAAUGCGUUGACAAGACACAAGGUAUUGGGAUAAAUUAAAAUCCAGUAUAUUCAACAUUGUUAGCCAAGCAACAUCUCCAGAAAGAAUAAAAUGAAACGAAAGAGACUAUGAAUAAAUAGAGAUUGCAGUGAAAAGAAAAAUAAAGUGAAAGAAACCGAUAUGAGCUUUUUUGUGCUGAAACACAUUGAAAGAAUAAUGAACAAUAGAGGCUGUUGUGGCACUGAACCUGAAACAAACCUGGAGUAACCUGAAACAACCUGAAAAAUAUCUUAAUGAAAGUGAACUGAGAUUGCGCAAUAGAGAAAAUGCUAGUUAAUAAACAGUUGGUGGUA